rnacentral:rRNA from 1 species
AUUGAACGCUGGCGGCAGGCCUAACACAUGCAAGUCGAGCGGAUGAGUGGAGCUUGCUCCAUGAUUCAGCGGCGGACGGGUGAGUAAUGCCUAGGAAUCUGCCUGGUAGUGGGGGACAACGUUUCGCAAGGAACGCUAAUACCGCAUACGUCCUACGGGAGAAAGUGGGGGAUCUUCGGACCUCACGCCAUCAGAUGAGCCUAGGUCGGAUUAGCUAGUUGGUUAGGUAAAGGCUCACGACGGCGACGAUCCGUAACUGGUCUGAGAGGAUGAUCAGUCACACUGGAACUGAGACACGGUCCAGACUCCUACGGGAGGCAGCAGUGGGGAAUAUUGGACAAUGGGCGAAAGCCUGAUCCAGCCAUGCCGCAUGUGUGAAGAAGGUCUUCGGAUUGUAAAGCACUUUAAGUUGGGAGGAAGGGCAGUAAGUUAAUACCUUGCUGUUUUGACGUUACCAACAGAAUAAGCACCGGCUAACUUCGUGCCAGCCGCCGCGGUAACAC